CAGCCAUUCCAGAACAAACUACUCAUUCAGUGCGCAUCAGUUGUUUAGAAUAAUAACAAGAUGGAGGCCGCCGGACAGGUUACAUCUGGAGUCAAUAUUGGAGUUUUUAAAGAGCCUAGAGGGUUCAUCAAAGUCUUGGAAUUUCCUAGUGGUGUAACGAUAUCAAAGAGCUAUGUAUACACGCAACUUCAAUGAUGCCGCUGACCCAGAUUUAUAUACUUAUAGUCUCUGAAGGAUUUAACAACAACAUUAGAGUAAAUCAUAAAGUGUAACGCAUUAUGUAUUAACACUGCCAAAACAUGUUUGUGCAGCACAAACAAUUAUACAGGAUACCAUAUAGUA
rnacentral:sRNA from 13 species